rnacentral:rRNA from 1 species
AUUGAACGCUGGCGGAAUGCUUUACACAUGCAAGUCGAACGGCAGCACGGGGGCAACCCUGGUGGCGAGUGGCGAACGGGUGAGUAAUACAUCGGAACGUGCCCAGUCGUGGGGGAUAACGUAGCGAAAGUUACGCUAAUACCGCAUACGAUCUCAGGAUGAAAGCGGGGGACCGUAAGGCCUCGCGCGAUUGGAGCGGCCGAUGUCAGAUUAGGUAGUUGGUGAGGUAAAGGCUCACCAAGCCUGCGAUCUGUAGCUGGUCUGAGAGGACGACCAGCCACACUGGGGAUGAGACACGGCCCAGACUCCUACGGGAGGCAGCAGUGGGGAAUUUUGGACAAUGGGCGCAAGCCUGAUCCAGCCAUUCCGCGUGCAGGACGAAGGCCUUCGGGUUGUAAACUGCUUUUGUACGGAACGAAAAGCCUUGGGCUAAUACCCCGAGGUCAUGACGGUACCGUAAGAAUAAGCACCGGCUAACUACGUGCCAGCAGCAGCCGCUG